UGGGGAAUAUUGCACAAUGGGCGCAAGCCUGAUGCAGCCAUGCCGCGUGUAUGAAGAAGGCCUUCGGGUUGUAAAGCACUUUCAGCGGGGAGGAAGGCGGUGAGGUUAAUAACCUCAUCGAUUGACGUUACCCGCAGAAGAAGCACCGGCUAACUCCGUGCCAGCAGCCGCGGUAAUACGGAGGGUGCAAGCGUUAAUCGGAAUUACUGGGCGUAAAGCGCACGCAGGCGGUCUGUCAAGUCGGAUGUGAAAUCCCCGGGCUUAACCCGGGAAUUGCAUCUGAUACUGGUCAGCUAGAGUCUUGUAGAGGGGGGUAGAAUUCCAUGUGUAGCGGUGAAAUGCGUAGAGAUGUGGAGGAAUACCGGUGGCGAAGGCGGCCCCCUGGACAAAGACUGACGCUCAGGUGCGAAAGCGUGGGGAGCAAACAGG
rnacentral:rRNA from 1 species